GACGUAGGGCGCGAGCGUUGUCCGGAUUUAUUGGGCGUAAAGAGCUUGUAGGCGGUCUGUCGCGUCUGCUGUGAAAAUCCGGGGCUCAACCCCGGACUUGCAGUGGGUACGGGCAGACUAGAGUGUGGUAGGGGAGACUGGAAUUCCUGGUGUAGCGGUGAAAUGCGCAGAUAUCAGGAGGAACACCGAUGGCGAAGGCAGGUCUCUGGGCCACUACUGACGCUGAGAAGCGAAAGCAUGGGGAGCGAACAGG
rnacentral:rRNA from 1 species